rnacentral:rRNA from 1 species
UACAGAGGUCUCAAGCGUUGUUCGGAUUCAUUGGGCGUAAAGGGCGCGUAGGCUGCGGGGCAAGUCGGGUGUGAAAUCUCAGAGCUCAACUCUGAAACUGCACUCGAUACUGCUUUGCUUGAGGACUGGAGAGGAGAUUGGAAUUCACGGUGUAGCAGUGAAAUGCGUAGAUAUCGUGAGGAAGACCAGUGGCGAAGGCGGGUCUCUGGGCCGAUACUGACGCUGAGGAGCGAAAGCGUGGGGAGCGAACAGG